rnacentral:rRNA from 1 species
GAUGAACGCUAGCGGCAGGCUUAACACAUGCAAGUCGAGGGGUAGAGGAAGCUUGCUUCCUUGAGACCGGCGCACGGGUGCGUAACGCGUAUGCAACCUACCUUUUACAGAGGGAUAGCCCAGAGAAAUUUGGAUUACUACCUCAUGGUAUAUAUCAUUCGCAUGUUUGAUAUAUUAAAGUUCCAACGGUAAAAGAUGGGCAUGCGUCCUAUUAGCUAGAUGGUAAGGUAACGGCUUACCAUGGCAACGAUCGGUAGGGGUCCUGAGAGGGGGUUCCCCCACCCUGGUACUUAGACACGGACCAGACUCCUACGGGAGGCAGCAGUGAGGAAUAUUGGACAAUGGGCGCAAGCCUGAUCCAGCCAUGCCGCGUGCAGGAAGAAGCAUCUAUGGUGUGUAAACUGCUUUUGUACGGGAAGAAACACUCCUUCGUGAAGGAGCUUGACGGUACCGUAAGAAUAAGGAUCGGCUAACUACGUGCCAGCAGCCGCAGUAAGAC